AAUUGUGGGCUCGUAUGAAAGGACAAACGAAAGCUAUACUGUCUCCUAGUAAAAAAUUGAAAUUGUCAUUCAGGUGAAGAGACCUGACUUCUUUCAAAGGACAAGAAGACCCCGUAGAGCUUAAUAUUACAACCAUUUAUAAAAAUAAAUAAAUAUACAUUAUCUCUAUACAUGCUACAAUAUUUAGCUGGGGCGGCUAAGGAAAAUAAAUCUUCCAUUUAACUUAUAUAUUCAGCAUUACAUGCCUAACUAAUAAUUGACCCUUUUUAAGAUCAGAGAAUAUAGCUACCUCGGGGAUAACAGAUUAAUCCUUCUUGAGAGUUCACAUUGACAGAAGGGAUUGACACCUCGAUGUUGGCUUAGGGUACCCAAUAGAUCUGCAGCAGUCUAUAAAGGUAG
rnacentral:rRNA from 1 species